rnacentral:rRNA from 1 species
GAUGAACGCUGGCGGCGUGCUUAACACAUGCAAGUCGAACGGAAAGGCCCAAGCUUGCUUGGGUACUCGAGUGGCGAACGGGUGAGUAACACGUGGGUGAUCUGCCCUGCACUUCGGGAUAAGCCUGGGAAACUGGGUCUAAUACCGGAUAGGACCACUUUUUGGAUGGUGUGGUGGAAAGUUUUUCGGUGUGGGAUGAGCUCGCGGCCUAUCAGCUUGUUGGUGGGGUAAUGGCCUACCAAGGCGUCGACGGGUAGCCGGCCUGAGAGGGUGUACGGCCACAUUGGGACUGAGAUACGGCCCAGACUCCUACGGGAGGCAGCAGUGGGGAAUAUUGCACAAUGGGCGCAAGCCUGAUGCAGCGACGCCGCGUGGGGGAUGACGGCCUUCGGGUUGUAAACUCCUUUCGCUAGGGACGAAGCGCAAGUGACGGUACCUGGAGAAGAAGCACCGGCUAACUACGUG